AUACGGAGGGUGCGAGCGUUGUUCGGAAUUAUUGGGCGUAAAGCGCGUGUAGGCGGUUGUCUAAGUCUGAUGUGAAAGCCCCGGGCUUAACUUGGGAAGUGCAUUGGAAACUGGGCAACUAGAGUACGGGAGAGGGUAGUGGAAUUCCGAGUGUAGGGGUGAAAUCCGUAGAUAUUCGAAGGAACACCAGUGGCGAAGGCGGCUUUCUGGACCGAUACUGUCGCUGAGACGCGAAAGCGUGGGGAGCAAACAGGAUUAGAUACCCUGGUAGUCCGCGCCGUAAACGAUGGGUACUAGGUGUCGCGGGUAUUGACCCCUGCGGUGCCGAAGCUAACGCAUUAAGUGCACCGCCUGGGGAGUAUGCUCGCAAGGGUGAA
rnacentral:rRNA from 1 species